rnacentral:rRNA from 1 species
UAGGGAAUCUUCGGCAAUGGACGAAAGUCUGACCGAGCAACGCCGCGUGAGUGAAGAAGGUUUUCGGAUCGUAAAACUCUGUUGUUAGAGAAGAACAAGGACGUUAGUAACUGAACGUCCCCUGACGGUAUCUAACCAGAAAGCCACGGCUAACUACGUGCCAGCAGCCGCGGUAAUACGUAGGUGGCAAGCGUUGUCCGGAUUUAUUGGGCGUAAAGCGAGCGCAGGCGGUUUCUUAAGUCUGAUGUGAAAGCCCCCGGCUCAACCGGGGAGGGUCAUUGGAAACUGGGAGACUUGAGUGCAGAAGAGGAGAGUGGAAUUCCAUGUGUAGCGGUGAAAUGCGUGUAUAUAUGGAGGAACACCAGUGGCGAAGGCGGCUCUCUGGUCUGUAACUGACGCUGAGGCUCGAAAGCGUGGGGAGCAAACAGG